CCUAGGGUCGCUCCAGUCGAGAAUCUUCCGCAAUGGACGAAAGUCUGACGGAGCGACGCCGCGUGCGGGAUGAAGGCCUUCGGGUUGUAAACCGCUGUCAGUGGGGAGGAAAUGCAUCAGGGUUCUCCCUGGUGUUUGACCGAUCCGCAGAGGAAGCGCAGGCUAAGUUCGUGCCAGCAGCCGCGGUAACACGAACUGCGCGCACGUUAUUCGGAAGCACUGGGCGUUAAAGAGUUCGUAGGCGGCCUUUCAAGGCGGGUGUGAAAUCCCUCGGCUCAACCGAGGAAGUGCGCCUGAUAGUGUUGGGCUUGAGGGGGAUAGGGGUGAGCGGAACUGAUGGUGGAGCGGUGAAAUGCGUUGAUAUCAUCAGGAACACCGGUGGCGAAGGCGGCUCACUGGAUCUCUUCUGACGCUGAGGAACGAAAGCUAGGGGAGCGAACGGGAUUAGAUACCCGAGUAGUC
rnacentral:rRNA from 1 species